UAAAUUUUAAGAGAGUAAAAUAUUGACAAAAACUGCAUUAAGUUUUCAACUCUUGUUUUGUUUUUCAUUAAAAAUUUGCUACCAUUAUGUAUAAUUCAUUUUUUUAAUGUAAAUGUUUUUAAGUAUUUGUAGGAUAAAGGCAAAUUACACUUAUUCAUUCUUUCUUUGAUAUAAUACAUGUAGCUCUUUACCUGAAAUCAAUGUUUGUCAAAUUAUUGUGCAUAAAUUAGAAGUAUGCAUGUUUCUCUUAAGUCAGUUAUGUUUCAGGAACUAUCUUUAAUGAAUUGUAUAGAAAAUUGUGGACGAGGUGUUAGGUGUACAGGAACGUGGUAUAUUAUAAACAUGUAUAGUAUCUCAUAGUAUAUAAACUCAUAACUUUGAUUAUGCAGUAUGCUUUGUAUAUUAUUUCUGAAAGCAUGUAUAUUUCAAUCAAGAUUGUUGAGUAAACUUUUCUUGCUUUAUGCUAUCUCUGAAAGCAUGUAUAUUUCAGUCAAGAUUGUUGAGUAAAUUGUGCUUAUUUUAUGCUUUUUUCUUUUUUACAUUAGAAAAUUCCACACCUUUAUCACGAGGAAAUCUGCAAUGGCAUUUAGGAAUGACAAAUAGAAGCUCAACUAUUCGAAGCAGGAGACCGAAGAGAAAAAAGGAAGAGAGAUGAUAUUACAGCUGCAGAAAAGGAAAUAAUUGAAACGCAGAAGAAUAUAUUAAUGUACUGUGUGAAAUAUGUGACUUGUAUAAGCAAUCAGUUGCAAAUCAGUCUGCUGUCAUAGAAAAUCAAAAUAUAAUUAUUAAUUUAUUAAAAAAAUAAAUCAUGCAUUUCAAAUAUUA